rnacentral:rRNA from 1 species
UACGUAGGGGGCAAGCGUUGUCCGGAUUUAUUGGGCGUAAAGAGCGUGUAGGCGGCCUGACAGGUCUGCUGUGAAAACUCGAGGCUCAACCUCGAGAUGUCGGCGGAAACCGUCUGGCUAGAGUCCGGAAGAGGAGAGUGGAAUUCCUGGUGUAGCGGUGAAAUGCGCAGAUAUCAGGAAGAACACCUAUGGCGAAGGCAGCUCUCUGGGACGGUACUGACGCUGAGGAGCGAAAGUGUGGGGAGCGAACAGG